rnacentral:rRNA from 1 species
GACGAACGCUGGCGGCGUGCCUAAUACAUGCAAGUAGAGCGAAGCGGCGGAUGGGUGAGUAACGCGUGUGUAACCUGCCCCUAAGUCUGGGACACCAUAUUGAAACAGCUGCCAAUACCGGAUAAUAAAUGUAGAACCUGCGAUGCAUUAGCUAGUUGGUAAGGUAACGGCUUACCAAGGCGAUGAUGCAUAGCCGGGUUGAGAGACUGAUCGGCCACAUUGGGACUGAGACACGGCCCAAACUCCUACGGGAGGCAGCAGUAGGGAAUCUUCCACAAUGGACGAAAGUCUGAUGGAGCAACGCCGCGUGAGUGAAGAAGGUUUUCGGAUCGUAAAGCUCUGUUGUUGGUGAAGCGGUAAUCAACCAGAAAGUCACGGCUAACUACGUGCCAGCAGCCGCGGUAAUUC